AAGCCCCGGAAAAGGUUUGAACUCGCGGUACUUGAUGUCACGAUCGGUUUGCGCGUAGAUCAGCAUGAAGUCGAACACAUCUGAAAGAUGUGUGGGCUGCCUGCACUCAACGUUGCAUUCAUGAGUAGAGUGUAACCUCAAUCGGUUUUUGCAGCUUCUGGGUGUCGUGUCGAACGAUCACAGAACGAGUUUUUGUUCUUUUCCAACUCGAUUUUUAACUCCUUAAACUAGUAGGAUGUUCCAACGGGUGAAGCAACAGUGCUUCAGUGACGGAGUUUCAGUGUCAAGUUUUCAUGCCAUGACCACUGGGACGGAAACCAUGACGUUGCCUUGGACUUCAAACUAAACCAUCUCAUUCUGGCUUUUUUCUAACCUCGAAAUCUCAGAAGGACAGGUCUAAUGGACGCAGCCUCCAUAGGAUGCAACCUUGCAUUUGAGAAACACCCCUAGAACGGUCAACUUACCCCAUACUCUAACCUGAAUGCAGGGAUCAUAAAACUUUAUCUUUUACCUUAAUUGUUAGAUGGGUGUUGAUACCAAACUUUUUUUUCUCUUCUACCCAGGAGAAAGUCAUGGGUUCUGCUGCUGAGGUUGUCAUAAAGCAUGCUUUUUUCCAUUUGUUGCAUUUGGCAAUAUUAUCAAAAGAUUCUGAAAGAAAUAAGAUAAUUUUCAAAGCAUUAACAUGAAUAUGAAAGUCAUUAAUGACCAUCUUUUAUUAUUGUUUAUUUACAGUGUCUUUUAUUCUGCUUACCUGACUCAUGCAGAAUUCUGGCUUGAUGUUUGGUCCACCUGUUAGCUGGCUCUGGUGCUUGGUAGUCUUCUCAAACCUCUGAAUCAAGACCACCAUGAGAGGCCUUCUGAAGACCAUCAUUACGCUGCAGAUCCAGUGGUCUUUACUAUGAGAUAGAACUGAACUGGAGUCUGUGAACUAAUGCUGUGUUCGAGACAACUUGGAUGUUUGAUAUUAUUGACCUCAAACCCAUAAGAAGUCUGGAACAGUAAACAAAGUUGAGUAUCCGACCUCUCAACUUGGGACAGAUCCAUCAACACCGACCUCAACGAGAUGCGUCAUUUGACAUUGCAGACAAGGUGGUGGCUAGCCUUUCACAGCCUUACAUGAACCGCAAACAAACUUUAAACUAUUUUUACAGCACAUAAUAUUUAUGAACAUGAAUGUUAAAUUAUCCAGUAACCGUUUUCUGCCAUAAUUGGCACAAGAGCACAAACUUCUCCUGGCGUUAACAAAUGGUAAUGUUAAUGAAAAGUUCAUUUUUGUCACAGUUGCAAAUUAACAACCACACAGAAUAUGAAGAAUAGCCAGAACUGUGGUAUUAAGCUAGCCCUAAAAUGUUGUGAGAAUCUUGAUGUAUUGGACACAGGUGUGUAGUAUCUGUUAUAUAUUGACGGUUGACAGGUUUGUUUGCAUGUAAUUGCAUUAUUAUUAAUUUGGGGUUGAUAGUCCAAUGUUGAUUUGAGAGAAAUAUUUUUUUCUUUUUAGAUCCUUUCUCUUUUUUUAUGCAGCUCUUAAGGAUGAACCACCCUGAUCUACUAAGAUGCACAGAUUCAACUCUGGCCCAGCAUCAUCCCCACACCUCAUCUGCCAUCAGUUUAAUUUAAUGUCUGUCAAUUGCAAAUGCUAUUUCAGUUAUAUUACAACUUAAUAUUAACUUUAAUUGAGACUAGUAUUGUGUAAAGCUGGGGUUUCCAAACUUUUCAUUUUAAAACCUAUUAGACAAGUAUAAUCUAUUCUAGACCCACUAAAAUAUUUUUACAUAUACAUUUUUUUAAUGGGGUAAAACACAUUUGUUCUCUUUCAGUGGAGUCAUUUUAUUUUCAUAAUAUUUCAUAAUGUAAAGCAGUGGUUCUUAACGUUAUUCCUCGAGGCCCACUGCUCUGCACAUUUUGUAUGUCUCUUUUAUCUGACAGACUCAGUUCAGUUCAUUGAGAUCUCUUCUAAUGAGCUGAUGAUUUGAAUCAGGUGUGUUAAAUAAGAGAGACAUACAAAAUGUGCAGCGCAGUGGGCCUCGAGGAAUAACGUUGAGAACCACUGAAAAGUAAAUAAGUUUAUUUGCAAUACCAAAUAUUUUAUGGUAUAUUCUUUCAAAACCAUUGUCAUUGUUAAUUAUUAAUUGGCCAAACUGUUGUUGCAUCAUUAAGGUGUGCAACACACCUUAACCUACUGUGUGACCGACAAGUGGGUCCUCCUGACCCACAGUUUAAAAUCCCCUGGUGUACUGAAUGUUGUAUUGUAAUUAAAGUCGCAUCAAAGUCUUGUGUAACAGUCUCCAAUAUUUGUGAUUAUAUGCACAGUGUCACAUGGUACUUUCAGCACUUACUACAUCACAGUUUUUUUAAUGCAUUAAUUUUUAGGUUUAUUAUAAAUUCAUUCAUUUUUAAAGAAUUCCUUCUUUAUGUAGAACAUGCAAAGUCUAAAAUGUAAAGUGUCAUGACCAGCUCUGGGUCUUGUGUAGUGAUU